AUUUAAAUAGUUUAAUUUAAAACAUUGAUUUGUGGUGUCAGGGAUGUAGGGAUCUACUUUAAAUU
rnacentral:tRNA from 1 species